UUUCUUUGCUGGUUCUUGUGCAUUGGAUGGAUGGAGGGAGGGAGGGAGAUGGGGAGUAGGAGACUCUUCCAUCUCCUCCUUGGAAAACCAUCUACCAAUUUAUCAUUCACCAUCCCAGGCACCAAUAACAGAGGCUGUAGAUCCCAAAGGAGUGCAAUCUGAGAACACAGCAGCGAGUGCCAAGACCUGUUUGCCACUGCAUCUGUGUUCUCAGGUCACCCCUUUGGGUCACCUUGUUCUCUCAUUGCAGAAUUGCUAUCUCUCUCAUUGCCCACCAACAUGCUGCUUUUAUGGAUGUUGGCAGGAUUCCUGCUUGUGUCUUUUAACUUCUCUUACUUGUACAUGGGCUACAUUUGCCCAAAGAAAUUUUUCAAAGAAAUCAAUUAAUCUCUCAUUCUCCUUUUGCUGGUAUUUUGCAGGAGAGCAGGGUUAUAUAUCAAUUUGAAUUCCUCUCUGGUGAGCAAUUUUGCAGCAGUUAUGGUUUCUUUGAUAGCCACUGGUGUUUGUGUCCACUUCAGCUUGCAAAAGUGUGCUAGUUGCCAUCAAACAGGAGAGCUUGCAUUAGAUGCUUGGGUUCUUAGAAGGGAACCAACUUGCAUAUCAAAUUUGUUGAACUUCAUUAGCUCCAUGUCUAUGGCCUGCCACAUUGAAGGAAACCUUCUGCGAAACACUUGCACCAGAUCUUGCAAAUAUGUCGAAGAGUCAGCAGUUUGUCAGCUUAUUUUAUCACUAGAGAAUUACUUUAAAACUUAAAGAGUUGGGUAUUUAGGGAUUCCAGGUUUGCAAACAAUUGUUUGUCUGAAAUAGGCAUCCCUGGGCCAGAAUACCAGGAUCAACCUCCUGUUUCAAAUAUUCCACAAUGCCUUCUUUAUGACAUAGUGGAGACCUUUUGAUGA